rnacentral:rRNA from 1 species
GCCAUGCCGCGUGCAGGAUGACGGUCCUAUGGAUUGUAAACUGCUUUUAUACGAGAAGAAACACUCCUUCGUGAAGGAGCUUGACGGUAUCGUAAGAAUAAGGAUCGGCUAACUCCGUGCCAGCAGCCGCGGUAAUACGGAGGAUCCAAGCGUUAUCCGGAAUCAUUGGGUUUAAAGGGUCCGUAGGCGGUUUAGUAAGUCAGUGGUGAAAGCCCAUCGCUCAACGGUGGAACGGCCAUUGAUACUGCUAGACUUGAAUUAUUAGGAAGUAACUAGAAUAUGUAGUGUAGCGGUGAAAUGCUUAGAGAUUACAUGGAAUACCAAUUGCGAAGGCAGGUUACUACUAAUAUAUUGACGCUGAUGGACGAAAGCGUGGGUAGCGAACAGGAUUAGAUACCCUGGUAGUCCACGCCGUAAACGAUGGAUACUAGCUGUUGGGAGCAAUCUCAGUGGCUAAGCGAAAGUGAUAA